GACGUAGGGCGCGAGCGUUGUCCGGAUUUAUUGGGCGUAAAGAGCUCGUAGGCGGCUCAUUGCGUCAACCGUGAAAACCAGCAGCUCAACUGUUGGCUUGCGGUUGAUACGGGUGGGCUGGAGUUCGGUAGGGGAGACUGGAAUUCCUGGUGUAGCGGUGAAAUGCGCAGAUAUCAGGAGGAACACCGGUGGCGAAGGCGGGUCUCUGGGGCCGAUACUGACGCUGAGGAGCGAAAGCGUGGGGAGCGAACAGG
rnacentral:rRNA from 1 species